rnacentral:lncRNA from 1 species
UUUUUUAUUUUAUUUUAUUUUUUUUUAAUGACAUGUAUCAUCUCAACAAUUUACUUUUCCUAACAAAACAGAAAAGAAUAAAUAUGAUUUCUAUGCACUUUAAUUCUAUUAAAGAUAAAUAAGCUUAAAAGUCUAACGCCUAGAAGCAAACCACUAGAGUAUGAAAGCUCUCAAAAGACUAUAAGCAUCCCUGGAAAGACAAAGAGCAUUAUUUAGGAAUUAAUAAGGUCUGAGCCUUCACUCUAUGUCAACACAAUUUAGUCCUCAUAAUACCUGACUCCAUUACCAUGUGGCUAUGCCCUCUGCUCCCUUCCCCUUACUAUCACAAGCAGCGCAAUGAGAGAAUAAGGCAGCUCAAGGUCACAUUGAAGGAUGAUUGAGCCUGACGUGGAGUUCUAAGCAGAGCCUCUAGAUGGCACUCUUUCUUAUCAGUAGCCGGUGUGAACAGUUCUCUUUUCUAUCUCCACGAUAAUCAAAGGACUAAAAUUGGUCCUCUUGUCUUAUAUUUUGAUACGAUUGCUCUACGCCAUCUUAGUAGAAAGCUGGAUGCUUACAUAACACGUUAGUUUACCAACAGCAAUUUGUGCUCUUAAGAAAAAAAAUUCCCAUAUCAUCAGAGUGUUGCAGUUGCUGCUGCUGUCCCCAUUGAACUCUGCAAAGCCAGUAUUCCGUUUGGAAUACUGGUUGGAAGUGUUUGUUUCAGAUCUAUACAAUCCCUAUGCCCCACUUUGGACCCUACUUCCAAUGUCACUAAGGUAAUAGAAGAAGAGGGAAGUCACUAUCUCCAGUCUUCCACAGGGCCAGCUCCUUACAAUCCUUACCAUCCAGCUACAGCUAUGUGGAGGUGAGGGGCCCUAGUAUCUAUGGUUAGAAGCAGAAGCAGCUGGAUAUAGGUGAAAGGGAGCUGGUUUCCCAACCCAAGACUGCCUCUGUAAGUGAUGGCUUGGUGGUCUCCUGUCACUAAUAGCAUUAGAGAUAUUUCUAGGAAGCUCACAACUAGCCUUAAUGUCUUUGCAGCUCCCCCACCACACUCAAUAUUUCCUGCCUACCUAGGCAAUGUUCCCCAGAUGCUACUCCUCCCUCCACCGCCAACACACACCCAGAGUUCUCAGGAAGCCAAGUACUUUGUCCAUGCUUUACAGGGGAACACAUUUUCAGCUCUGUUGGCCUGGACACAAUGGAUACAAUCAGGAUAUGAUUAUGAUAACCAAAAAACAUCAAAGAUUUUAAGGUAGGCUGUAGAGUAGAAGACUGAAGAGUUUAUGGAACUCCUUUCUUUCAUGCUUCAAGUGAUAUUUAGCAAACGUACUUUUUAAUGUCUAAGGAUUUUCAAGAAUUCAGAGUUCUGCAUAACUAUAGAUGUUUCAGAGAGUGACAAAGAAUAAAACUCAGUGUUACAUUCAAACUUAUUUUCUUUCAUUUUAUCUUAUUCCAGCUCCAACUCUCUGGUCCUGCCUAUGGGAUUUCUAUUUUCCAAGAUGGACCUAGCCAUGGCUUUUCAGACUGACCCCUAUGUGACCAGGAGGCUCUGGAAAAUACAAUACAGUUUGACUUUUAAGACUGUUAAGGAAACACAGAAAAAUCUCUCAUUAACCCUUUGUCCUCAAAGCACAGACCCUUGUGCUUCUUUGCAAUUCUGAAUUCUUAAGAACAUUCAGUCCACACUGAGUUAUUUUUUUCUAACAGCUUAUCUUGCUGAGACAUAAACCAAUGAAGGUCAUAGGUGCCAUACAUAAAAAUUUAGUUAUGUAAGUUGUAGUAAAUAAUUUAAAUGGGCCAUUUAACUAAUCUUGGAUUUUAUCCACAAAGCCAGGGGUCUUACUUUGGUUGUUCAGUUCAUAUCUCCUUCCUUUUUUACUCAGAAAACUCUUCCUUAGGAUUUGGGAAUGGAAAGAGAACUAUUGCUUCAAGUUUACUCAAAAACAUUUUAAGCCUGUCAUUCUCCCAAAUACUGCUUAAAUGUUUAGAACUCCAUAAAACUCAAGCUGCACUGGAUGAAUUCUGUAAACAUCACUAAAUGCAGUUUUUCUAGAAAGAAAGCUGCCAAAUUUUUAAGACACAAGAUUAAGCCUCCAGAUGGCCUUUUCUGAAGUGUGAGUACUAAUUGGGUUUCCAUGUCCUUGUCUGACACUCUAGUCCACCCGAGUGUCCCUUUCUAGAGCCGAAUCUGGGAAACCAAAAUUCACACAAAUGCCUAGGAGAAGGACAGACAGAUAAAACAGACUAUGAGGUACUGAUUUAUGGGAACUUGGGGCCCCUUGCUGUUAGCCCAUUCAUUUCCAAACAAGCUUCUUCCUAUCUGACAAAAUGCCUAAAAAUCUACCUCUAGAAGAUUUCUUCUCCUACCUUUAGAAGACCUAUUUGUCUAGCUCCCUAACAAUAUCCAAAUGUCUUUGGGAAAGGUAUAAUGUCCAGGAUUUAUUAGCAACAUCUGCAUUCCUGUAACUGCUUUAGAUGAAGUAUCAAGGAAGGAACCAGCAGUGUGACAAGUUAUGAGGCUUGCCCAAGAUUACACGGCUUUUAAGUGACUAAAUCGAUGUAGUGCUUAGGAGUAAGGUUCUAGAAGAAGCCAGGAAACCAGCUCUGUUCCCAUUCUUCUCUCUUCUCUGGGCUGUUGACAGGCAGACAGGCAGACAGCUCAAAGAGCUACUAAUGGUUUCUUAGGGCAACUGCUCUAGAGAGGAGGCUGGGAAGAAAGACAUCUCACCUCUGUAGCUAGGAAAGUGCUGGGGAAUUGGUUUACAGGAGAAAAAUAUGUGCUUUUGCAUCAGGAAUUCCCAAUUCCAACCUACAAGAGGAAGGAAAACCUCAAGGUCAAAUCAGUUUGGAAAAUGCUUCUUAAUGUAUCUCUUUUGGAAGAUCUUUGAUGAAUCUUAGCAUAUUAGAACAGUCCUGAAUUCCACUUGUGACAUUUUUUAACCGAUUUCCCAAACUAUUUGAUCAAAGGAUGCUCUUUUUCCUAACAUUUAUUGACAUCUCUGGAAGAGUUUGGGAAAUUCUGCUUUAGCAGAAAUUAUAAGAAUUUUGACUCCUUAUGAUGCCCUGCAGCUGUCAUGCAACCCAGAACAGAAUUCUCUAGCAGAAGUUAUUUGCCUGCAUUUUCUACAAGAAAGCACAAUGCAAAAAGUUCCUGGAGCUUUUAUCACUUGGAACACCUUUUCAUUACGGCCACUAACAAUUAUAGAGAAAAAUUUGUUGAGGGUCAAAUGGAAAUAAAACCCGGUACUCUCUCUUUUCCACCUGCAGCUCUUUCCUUAUUUAAAGGAAAGAUUCCCCUCUUUGCUAGGGAACUUUUCUUACCAUCCCCAGGCAGAAUUAAUUCUUCAUUGUCUUUUGUCUCACACAUUCUCUUCUCUCUUCCUGUUUGUAUGACACUACUUGAUAUUCUGGCAUUGAAGGAUCUGCUCACAAGCCCGAUUCCCUCAAUGACCUAAAGGCAGUCCAAGCCUAUGGAAGACAGCCCCGGUGAUGUGAAAUUGCUCAUAAAGUUCUGUGAUAGACAUAACAUACUGAGUCAAUGAAUUCAAGAGGCCAAAUACAAGCACCAUGUAUUGCUGUGCCCAAGAUUGCGAAUUCGAGAAACUACCAAGGAGCCAACACCGAUGCAAGCGCACGAGGGUUUAUUAGCAAGCUCGAGCUUGGGUCCAAGUGUACCCGACACAGCGGAGCAGGGACUUGGACCCUGAAGUGGGUUACAGCUGGGUUUUUUAUAGUCUGGUCUAAGGGAUUUUCAGAAGGGGUGGAGGAAUUUCUCAAGUUCUGUUUACAUUCUGAUAUGGGGCUUUCAAGGGCAUUGAGCUCUGUUCUCAUUCUAAUAUGAGACUUUCUACCACAGGUGUGGGCCCUGUUGUCUUUCUGAUAUGGGAUUCUCUGCCCAGGGCAAUUCUGAGCUCUGUUGUCUUUCUGAUAUGGGAUUCCCUGCCGGGGACAUUGAGGACAUUCUGCAGCUUUUCCCAUAAAGUUCAGCUCUUAUUCACAGGGGCCUAAGAUGGCUGUACUUGUGCUAAUGCUAAACUUUAGGUGGGAUGGCCUUAAUUUUUCUCGGCCUCCACAGUAUAAAUUCAAACUAAAUUGAUUUAAAAAUUUAAAGUAUGGCAAGUCAUACCUCACUGCAUAAAUAAUAAUUAAUACCUAAGUGUAUUUAUUAUGGCCACUUAAUUUUUCAGGUAGAGAAAGAAAGGGAGGAAGGAAGGAAGGAAGGAAGGAAGGAAGGAAGGAGGGAAGGAAGGAAGCACGAAGUAGAGAAUCAGAGGAUUCUCGACAACCACAGCAAGGAAAAAGGUAGAGGAAAAAUAGCAAAGAGAAAGAAAAAAAGACAAACUAUACAAAAAAUACAGGUAAAAUUACAGGUAGAAAGACAGAAAUAAAGCAAAAGAAUAGCCAGAGUGGAAAAUUUGGUGGGGAGAAAAACACACACACACACACACACACACACACACACACACAAAAGGAAGAAAA